GGAAGGGCAGCUGACAAGAGGCACCAGCCUCCCAGAGAGAGAAAAAUGAGGGGAACUUGGAAGAGGCCAGAAUGGAUGGAAGUAUAGGCUCUUCUCCUUCCACGCUGGGGCAGGCAUGUGACUAUCCAUUCCGAUCUUCUGUCACUCAAUGGGGCCCAGAAAGGUGCAGUGAUUCUCCAGCUGUCACACAGGGAGUUGUAGUAUUUGGAAUCCGUCCAGUGAAAGAGGAGCCGGAGAUCUGAAGUCGGAACCUGAGAGAAACGCUAUCAACCCAGCACACUGCAUAUGCUGUUUAUUGAGAUGAUAAUGGUGUUGGUGGCCUAAGGACACAUACCAGUAGCCCAGGCAGGCUUCAGCCUAAUUCUCCCAACCGAAGGUAGAUGCUGGUGUCCCCUUCCCCACUCCCCUCCUCCACCCUGUCUCCCAGGCCUCAGAUUGAGCAUUUGACUCACUCAUGAGAAAAUACAGCAGUCCCUAGAGAACUUGAAAGCUGCACUUGGCUGACAGAGCCAAACGGGAAAG
rnacentral:lncRNA from 1 species